rnacentral:rRNA from 1 species
CCUGGCGGCAGUAGCGCGGUGGUCCCACCUGACCCCAUGCCGAACUCAGAAGUGAAGCGCCGUAGCGCCGAUGGUAGUGUGGGGUCUCCCCAUGCGAGAGUAGGGAACUGCCAGGC